UGAUAACCAAACUCUCCAAAACCUAAAUGAAAAACCCUUUGCAUGUUUUAUAUAGUUUUUGGUUCUCUAGUUCUCUGUUCUCAAAUUCCAUGGCGGCGACUAGCGAGGGAUCUCUUACCAUAGAUUUGCCGAAAAAUUUACCUUUCCAUUGAGGGAUUCAGGAUUUGUUAAAGGCGGAGGUCCAGGCGGUGGGGGUCAUUUCUGGUUAGGGUCUGCAUUUGGAAAGGUGGCGGUGUCGAAGAAGGUGAUGGGAGCUACGGUGGUAGUAGCGCUAUAUGGCGCCGAAAAUAGAUGUGAUUAUGUUUGGGGACAAACUCAUGUCGUCUGAAUGUUCCCUCAUUUUUGAAGAGUUGAAGCGAACAUCAUUGUGUUUUCAAUGUGCUCACGGAAGGCCAACAAUUGUGCCUCUGGUGAAUCUGAAGGCAUUACAAAAGGGGGUCCUGCAGCUUGGGUCCUAGCAUGAAUGCUCUAUAAGAACACCUAGCAUGGACUUUGCAGGAAGGAGAUCUAUAAGUCUUGAUCGUGCCAAGCCUAGACUUAAUAUGGUAAGAGGGUGUGAAUUAAAAAUUGAGAUUGAGGUAAAUGUAUAAAAGGUUCGUUUUCUUUACACAAUUUUGUUUUCUCUUGUAGUUCUUCAGCUUUCCAUUUUUCUUUUCUUUUGUAUAUCGUAAAAAAUUAAUUGUAUCUUCAUUCUCUGGUUAUCUUGUACUAUCCAAGUGCACAAGCAAUAGUAGUUGAGUAUAUCCUUCAUCCGUUCUUUCAAACCUGAUAGAUUUAUAAUAUUGCUACACAAACUGGCAUAUUUGGUGAGUGGGAAGGUUAUGAGUGACAAAUUUAUAAUACUGCUACACAAACUGAAAUAUUACAUCCACAGCUUGAUCCUACACAAACUGAUGUUGCACUUUACCCUCUAUUUUUUGCUUUUCUCCUACUAAAUUCCAUGGUUAUAUGUGUUGUAGGAGGAAAUCCAGAAAAUAAUGGCAGAAGAACCAAUCGCGUGGAUACGGUACAAGAAGAAAACAAUGCACUUAAGAGGCACACGAGUUCAGUUGAAGAUGAACUUAAAUCAUUUAAAGAAGUGUUACUACAACGACUUAAGCCUCCAAGAUAGGACACUUCAACUAUUGAGAUUUUAUUUUGUUCUAUUAGAUUGAACAUGAGUGAUUUAUUUAUUAGUUUUUCAUAAUUUAAAGACAACGAGAUGUGAUUGUUGGGUUCACAUAACUUGAAGUUCUAUUAUCAAAUUUUUUUUGAGUAAUAAAAUUUUCAUUUGUUUUAAGUGAUUGAUUUAUAGUUUUGUAUAUUAUUUCAUAGAC